AAUUUUAGAAAUUAUUUUGGUAUUUUUUUAGAUAUAAAAUAAUUUUUUUAUGAAAUUAAUAAAAAAGAAAUUUAAAAUGAAUAAAGAAAUAAAAUCAGGAAAAACACGGAGCGUUGGAUUUGACUUCAUUAAUUGACAUGGUAUAUCCAUCAAUCACAAGGCUGAGGAGAAGAAGCGACUAUCCUAGAGCAUAAAGUAAAAGUUAGAGAGGAAAGAUGUAACCAAGA
rnacentral:lncRNA from 1 species